ACGGCCGCGGUAUUUUGACCGUGCGAAGGUAGCGCAAUCACUUGUCUUUUAAAUGAAGACCUGUAUGAAUGGCACCACGAGGGCUUAACUGUCUCCCUCUCCCAGUCAAUGAAAUUGAUCUCCCCGUGCAGAAGCGGGGAUAAAAACAUAAGACGAGAAGACCCUAUGGAGCUUUAGACGCCAGGACAGCCUACGUUAAACACCCCAAAAUAAAGGAAAAAACCAAGUAAAUCCUGUUCUAGUGUCUUUGGUUGGGGCGACCGCGGGGAAAAACUUAACCCCCAUGUGGAGUAAGAGUACUAUACUCUUAGAUCCGAGAGCUCCCGCUCUAAUAAACAGAAUUUCUGACCAACAAGAUCCGGCAAUGCCGAUCAACGGACCGAGUUACCCUAGGGAUAACAGCGCAAUCCUCUUAAAGAGCCCUUAUCGACAAGGGGGUUUACGACCUCGAUGUUGGAUCAGGACAUCCUAAUGGUGC
rnacentral:rRNA from 1 species